rnacentral:tRNA from 1 species
GGUCUGGUAGUGUUAUCAUGCAAGGUUGCAAGCCUUGAGAAGUUAGGUAUUCUAACCCAGAUCU